UACGUAGGUGGCGAGCGUUGUCCGGAAUUACUGGGUGUAAAGGGAGCGUAGGCGGGCUUGUAAGUUGAAUGUUUAAUCUAUGGGCUCAACCCAUAGCUGCGUUCAAAACUACAAGUCUUGAGUGGAGUAGAGGCAGGCGGAAUUCCUAGUGUAGCGGUGAAAUGCGUAGAUAUUAGGAGGAACACCAGUGGCGAAGGCGGCCUGCUGGGCUCUAACUGACGCUGAGGCUCGAAAGCGUGGGUAGCAAACAGG
rnacentral:rRNA from 1 species